ACGAACGCUGGCGGCAGGCCUAACACAUGCAAGUCGAGCGCCCUUUCGGGGGAGCGGCGGACGGGUGAGUAACGCGUGGGAAUAUGCCCUUCUCUACGGAAUAGCCUCGGGAAACUGAGAGUAAUACCGUAUACGCCCUAUGGGGGAAAGAUUUAUCGGGGAAGGAUUAGCCCGCGUUGGAUUAGGUAGUUGGUGGGGUAAUGGCCUACCAAGCCGACGAUCCAUAGCUGGUUGGAGAGGAUGAUCAGCCACACUGGGACUGAGACACGGCCCAGACUCCUACGGGAGGCAGCAGUGGGGAAUCUUAGACAAUGGGGGCAACCCUGAUCUAGCCAUGCCGCGUGAAUGAUGAAGGCCUUAGGGUUGUAAAGCUCUUUCAGCUGGGAAGAUAAUGACGGUACCAGAAGAAGAAGCCCCGGCUAACUCCGUG
rnacentral:rRNA from 1 species